rnacentral:rRNA from 1 species
AUUGAACGCUGGCGGCAUGCUUUACACAUGCAAGUCGAACGGCAGCGCGGGCUUCGGCCUGGCGGCGAGUGGCGAACGGGUGAGUAAUGCAUCGGAACGUGCCCAGUAGUGGGGGAUAGCCCGGCGAAAGCCGGAUUAAUACCGCAUACGACCUGAGGGUGAAAGCGGGGGACCGAAAGGCCUCGCGCUAUUGGAGCGGCCGAUGUCGGAUUAGCUAGUUGGUGGGGUAAAGGCUUACCAAGGCGACGAUCCGUAGCUGGUCUGAGAGGACGACCAGCCAACCGGGAAUGAGGCACCGCCCCGACCCCCACGGGGGGCCGGCGGUGGGAAUUUUUGACCAUGGGGGCAACCCUGAUCCAGCCAUGCCGCGUGCGGGAAGAAGGCCUUCGGGUUGUAAACCGCUUUUGUUCGGGAAGAAAUCCUCUGGGCUAAUACCCCGGGGGGAUGACGGUACCGGAAGAAUAAGCACCGGCUAACUACGUG